AAGUCGUAACAAGGUUUCCGUAGGUGAACCUGCGGAAGGAUCAUUACAUGAUAUAUAUAUAUGAAUGUGAUGCGGUUAAUUCCGCAUCACAUUACAUUAUCUCCACCCUUGUGAACUGUAAUUGACACCUUUGGUGUGUGUGUGUGUGUGGCCGUAAUAAGCCCACUCCCCCCGCCAGACGGUACAAAACACCAAAAAAUCAUUUCAACACAUCUAGACUUAAAGAAAAUCAUUAAUUGAAAUACAACUUUUAACAAUGGAUCUCUUGGCUCUU
rnacentral:misc_RNA from 1 species